rnacentral:lncRNA from 1 species
GGACUUUUUUGGUGGGUUCAGUGAGAAGUAAAAAUGUAAAAGAAAAGGUCUUUUUACUUCAAGUCAUAAAGUCUGAUAAUAAAAAAAUGUCAAGUAACAGCGUAAAGGUAGGGCGGAGAAGGUCUUUUUCUCCUGAACCAGAAGUGUAGUUCUUACCUGUUCUGGUCAGACUGGCCAGUAGCAGCAGCAGCAGCAGCAGAGGGGUGUUGACCCAAGCGUCUCUCAUUUUACAAGUUAAAGAGCCAGAAAUGGUGGCAUUAUGCACCAACGUCUUCCUGCACUGUCACAACAUUGCACUUCCUGAUCUGACUUAAGGUUUCUGAAAAAAAAAGUCCCAUACACACCCACAAAGUCACUCAGAUAACUCACUUGGAUGUGAUGCAAUAAGCUGUGUGCUUGUAGCCACAAGUCUGACUGUUUCUCAGCUGCAGCACAACUGCAUUCCCGCCAGUUAGGUAUGCACGCCAAAAAAAAGUGAGCAGAAGGCAGAGCAAACUUGCAUGAAGAAUGGCCUCUUCCUAAAAAGUUAAGCAAAAGGUGCCGCUCGCUCAGGUGUGUCCCCUCACCCUCAUGGCGGAGUCCACUCAGAAACUGUGAACUCCUUCUGUUUUUCAGGGGAGGAGUGAUUCUUAAAACCAGCUGAUGCCGGAUCCUUAGCCACACUGUGCGGUGAAUUACUGAUCAUGAAUCUGUGGGUCAUGCUUCAAUGAUUAUCUCUUGGCAGUUCUUUUUUUUUUUUUUUUCCGUUGAACGUUGGCGGGGGCAUGUUCCAACACGGUGGCUGCAGCCUGAAGCGUCUGUGAACGUUGUCUCCUGUCAGAGAAUCAAACGUGGCAUUAAAGAAAAUUUUAAACUAAUUUCUUGCUCAAGGAGAGCUCAGGGAGCACACAUCUAAAAAAAAGUGAUUCAAAAUUUUUGGUUCAGUCCUCAAUGAAAAAUAGGAUGUUUUCCUCUCCAUCACUUUACUUUCAGGUAAUGAAAAGGGGUAAUGGGACUGGGCUGACUUUAAUUGAAGGAGACAUCUAUGAGCUGAGUUCACAUAAAGGUAUACUGUAUGGUUUAAACUUUCCUUUAAAAUCCUUUUUAUGCAAGAGUUAUAUUUGCACAACAAAAUAUUAAUGAAUAUAAGAAGAAUGUGUUGGCAAGAAACAUUGCAUCUACAAAUAGUCAUGUCUGCAAGACAAGGAUGCAGGACACCAUAAACAUGGAACACGAUGUUUUACAUUUUAGAUAUUCAAACAAAAUAAUAUAAAAAAAAAUAUGUUUUGAACAAAUAAGUUGUGUGAUCUGUGUGGUCCAUCUUUACUACUAUUUCUACUAUCUUUACCUUUAUUUAUUCUUAAAAUGCUUUUUGUUCUUAUUAUUGUCAGUGGAAUUGUCUUUGUCAAGUUUUCUGAUUUUAAAAUAGAAUGGUGCCAAGGCUGAGAAGGGUUUUUUAUCUGAUCAGUUUCCAAAAAAGAUAAAUAAAAAUAAGCUAUAAGAUCACUGACUCACUAAACAUUUUGGAGGGGAAAAAAAGGAGUAAAAGAGUACAGAAGCGUCCUCCAGUGUAAGUUAGGCACUAACAUUUUAAAAUAUAGAGUUUAAAUGAUUAAUUUCUCUUCUUGCAAGUGUCACUUGAUGCUCAUAUUAUAAAGCCAAACGAGAGGUCAGCAGCUGACUCCCCUUAGCAAAAAGUUGGUAUAGUUGAUAUACUUCCUACACCACAUGUACAUUUGGGUUGUCAGAAUUCUCAGUUUAAAACCAAAUUGUGUUAAACCGCAUUGGGGGAAAACUAAUUGUUGCAUCCCUAUUGCAUACAUUGGAAUAUUUUAAAUUGUCAAACAUUUGGGUUGUGCAAAAGAUUCAUUAUUUGUUGUCAGUUUUAUUAUACUACUCUGGG